rnacentral:piRNA from 8 species
CCGGAUAGCUCAGUCGGUAGAGCAUCA